rnacentral:rRNA from 1 species
UACGGAGGGUGCGAGCGUUGUUCGGAAUUACUGGGCGUAAAGCGCGUGUAGGCGGCUGCCUAAGUCUGAUGUGAAAGCCCGAGGCUUACCCUCGGAAGUGCAUUGGAAACUGAGCAGCUAGAGUAUCGGAGAGGAGGGUGGAAUUCCUGGUGUAGCGGUGAAAUGCGUAGAUAUCAGGAAGAACACCGGUGGCGAAGGCGGCCCUCUGGACGAAUACUGACGCUGAGACGCGAAAGCGUGGGGAGCAAACAGG